UCCUUGGCAACUGUGUUUAACUCACAGGAUUUGUUCUGCUCCAGCUAGCCAGAGCAACUUAAAAGAAACAAACACCUUGAAACAGAACAAGGCUUAUAAUUGGUCCCACAGCCUCCAUGAAAUGAAUCUGGGCAAGUCAAGCUUAAUGGACAAUAGGGGGCAAGGAAAAGAUGUAUGACUCCUGUUGACAAUAUUGCUAUCAGUACAGAAGAGAUGCUAUUAACUUUCAUAUUUGCAGCCAAUAAUACAAGACAUCUGUUCUGAGUAACUUCCAUCUGGAAUACUGUAGCCCUCAUUUCCCGUUUGCAUACGUGAUAUUAGUGUAAUUGAAACUGGUUUAGAAACAGAAAAGGAAGAAAAAUAAUACUUGCUUCAUUUGGUCCACAGAAAAUUGCAUUGUCUUUUGAUUUCCACCCUUGAAUGGAAGUAGUUAUGGUGCCACACACAAGAGAAAUGUCAUCUUAAAAAUUACACGCUAAUAUCAGUUAGCACUGUGAUGUUAGUAGCAAUUAACCUUAAAAGCAACAAUUUUUUUAAUAUGGUGUCUCUCCAUUAACUCAUCCCUUUUUAUAAACAAUUACAUGAUACAUUCUCAUGAAAAGCAUAUAUAUUCAAUAAUAAAUAUUUAACUUGAAGAUCA